GUCCCCAUCGUCUAGCCUGGCCCAGGACAUCGGGUUUUCAUCCCGAAAACAGGGGUUCGAAUCCCCUUGGGGAUG
rnacentral:tRNA from 1 species